rnacentral:sRNA from 1 species
GGGGGGGGUAACCUCAAAAAAAAAAUUGAUCACAACCAGUUACAGAUUCCUUUGUUCCUUCUCCACUCCCACUGCUUCAC